rnacentral:sRNA from 1 species
UCUCCGUUGGUGAACCAGCGGAGGGAUCAUUACUGAGUUUACGCUCUAUAACCCUUUGUGAACAUACCUAUAACUGUUGCUUCGGCGGGUAGGGUCUCCGUGACCCUCCCGGCCUCCCGCCCCCGGGCGGGUCGGCGCCCGCCGGAGGAUAACCAAACUCUGAUUUAACGACGUUUCUUCUGAGUGGUACAAGCAAAUAAUCAAAACUUUUAACAACGGAUCUCUUGGUUCUGGCAUCGAUGAAGAACGCAGCGAAAUGCGAUAAGUAAUGUGAAUUGCAGAAUUCAGUGAAUCAUCGAAUCUUUGAACGCACAUUGCGCCCGCCAGCAUUCUGGCGGGCAUGCCUGUUCGAGCGUCAUUUCAACCCUCAAGCUCUGCUUGGUGUUGGGGCCCUACAGCUGAUGUAGGCCCUCAAAGGUAGUGGCGGACCCUCCCGGAGCCUCCUUUGCGUAGUAACUUUACGUCUCGCACUGGGAUCCGGAGGGACUCUUGCCGUAAAACCCCCCAAUUUUCCAAAGGUUGACCUCGGAUCAGGUAGGAAUACCCGCUGAACUUAA